GGACGGGACCCGGCGUGAGGGGCGGGCCUGGACACCGUGAGAAGGAGCGUCUGCGACUGCCUAGACGGGACGGGCGUGGCGUAGGCGCGGGGUGUAACCUGAAAAAGCGGGACUUAGUGCGUCCCCGCUUGGGGGGGCCACUCCUAAGGGCACUACAGAGUCGUUCCAGACUGCGGGUGGGGUGAGCUCAGGCAGAGGAAUCACCAGAGUGGAAAGCAGGGACGUAGGUAUAAGAGAAGGACCUGUGGGUCAGAGGAAUGGGCGUGACCCAGGGGACAAGCAUGUGACAAGACCCGUGCAGAGGCGGGGCCACGGAGUAGCGUACGGGACGCAAAGUACGUAACAGGAAGAAGGGCCGUGACGUAGGCGGAGCGCCAGGGCGUACCUUGAACAUGCGCGGGCGACACGUAUGUGAGGGCGCGACAAAGCCCGUCCGGCUCGAAGGAGGGGUGGGCUCAGGCGUAGGACGGAGGCGGGGCCACGUUAGCGCGUAGGCGCGUGGCCGCGGCUGCAAGCCCAGAGCGAUGGCGGCAGAGGGGCAGCCAGGGCAGAGAACAGGUGCGGACCCAGAGAGCUGGUUCGGGUUCUGACGCAGUGAGCAAAUCCAAGGCAGGACUUACAGGGCUUUGUCUGGCAUUUGGGCCGGGCGACGACACAUGACGUAUUACGCGCGAUGACGUGUACGGCGUGAGGGGCGUGGCGAGGCGCGACCGGACGUGUUCAAGAUGGCUGCGCGCAUGAGUCUCUCCGGCCCGGAGUGGAGGGGUCCGCGCUCAGGGAAAUGUUUGGGUUCCUCGGAUCCUGCACGUUAUCUGGGGCCCGAUCGAGAUUUCAAGCUAAACAUGGUGGCGAUGAGUAGCCUGAGGGCCAUCCUGCAGGCCUCUCCAUGCAGGUCACUGUGGAGAAGAUUCCAGAUGUCCAGCUUCCUGCCGGCGAGGCCCUGCAGCCUCUACACGUGCACGUACAACUCCCGGAACCGGGCCUGUGAGUAGCUGCUGCCUUGGAGAGCGCAAAACGCUGUGUGCCUAACGGUCACGUGUGUGCUGUUUGUCCCCUGCUGUCAGCGGCGUCCCAGAGCGGGGUCGUGUGCCUUGAGGGCCGUGAGAACAGCUACUUGUUUCUCUAGUUGUCUCUCAAAUAAAUGUGGAAAGUUCUUUUUCCCCGGGGGUCUCGAGAUGUCAUCGCCAUGUGACAUUGUGUAAGUCGAAGGUGUGGUGCGGUGUGAUGAUUUGACACACGUGUGUUGCAAAACCGUCAUAAGGGUCGGAAAGUCCUCUUCUAGACGAAUUUUAACACGUUAAAAGGAUGUCAUGGGGAAAUAGGACAAGGGACCUGGCUCGGUUAAGUGUCUGGCUUCGGCUCAGGUCAUGAUCUCACUGUUCGUGCUCUGGGGUCGGGCUCUGUGCUGACAGCUAGCUCAGGGCCUGGAGCCUGCUUCAGUCUCUGUGUUUCCCUCUCUUUCUGCCCCUCCUCUGCUCAUGCUCUCUCUUUCUAUCUCUCAAAAAUAAAUAAAAAACAUUAAAAAAAAUUUUUUUAAACAAUGUCCAGUAGAU
ensembl:lncRNA